rnacentral:misc_RNA from 1 species
UUAACGAUUUACUUUUCGUAUACUGACGGAAGUUUACAGAAAUGGUUUUGGUGGGCCUCGGACGGGCUGACAGCACGGAGGCAUGCCGCCGAAGCAACGGGAGGUUCACAAUGGUUUGAAGUAACGAGUACCGCACGAUCUCAUUAGGAGACCGAACCGGCAUUACGUAUGUUUAAAGCCCAAGCGGCUGGUCCACCCGGACUUUCAUCCAGGGUGAAGGAUAUUUUUAAUGAUCCUUCCGCAGGUUCACCUACGGAAA